GACGAACGCUGGCGGCGUGCCUAAUACAUGCAAGUCGAACGCAGUGGGGACGGGUGAGUAACACGUGGGUAACCUCCCAUAAGAGGGACUAACACUUGGCAACAGGUGCUAAACCGAUACUGCUGGAUGGAACUGCGGUGCAUUAGCUAGUGGGAGGGGUAACGGCUGACCAAGGCUACGAUGCAUAGCCUACCUGAGAGGAUGUUGGGCCACACUGGGACGGAUACACGGCCCAGACGCCGACGGGAGGCAGCAGUGGGGAAUCUGCGGCAAUUGACGAAAGUCUGACCGAGCAACGCCGCGUGAGUGAAGAAGGUUUUCGGAUCGUAAACCUCUUUUGUUAGAGAAGCGGUAGCUAACCAGAAAGCCACGGCUAACUACGUGCCAGCAGCCGCGGUAAUAC
rnacentral:rRNA from 1 species